rnacentral:rRNA from 1 species
CCUGCGGCGGCCUAUCAUGCAGUCGAGCGCAGACAAGCAGGCUGAUCCCCUUCGGGGGUGACGCUUGUGGAAUGAGCGGCGGACGGGUGAGUAGCCCGUGGGCGACCUGCCUGUAGGACUGGGAUAACCCCGGGAAACCGGGGCUAAUACCGGAUAAUACUUUCUUUUGCAUAAAGGAAAGUUGAAAGGCGGCUUCUGCUGUCACUUAUGGUGGGCCCGCGGCGCAUUACCUAGGUGGUGAGGUAACGGCUCACCAAGGCGACGAUGCGUAGCCUACCUGAUAGGGUGAUCGGCCACACUGGGACUGAGACACGGCCCAGACUCCUACGGGAGGGAGCAGUAGGGAAUCUUCCGCAAUGGACGAAAGUCUGACGGACCAACGCCGCGUGAGUGAUGAACGUUUUCGGAUCGUGCAACUCUGUUGUUACGGAAGAACAAGUUGGGUACUAACUGACCCAACCUUGACUGUACCUAMCCMRAAAGCCMCGGCUAACUAYRUGCCRSCAGCCGCGGUAAUAYKUASGUGGCAAGCGUUGUCCGGAAUUAUUGGGCGUAAAGCGCUCGCARGCGGUCCUUUAYGUSUGAUGUGAAAUCUCGCGGSUCRACCGCSAACGGUCAUUGRAAACUGGAGGACUUGAGUACWGAAGAGGAGAGUGGAAUUCCACGUGUARCGRUGAAAUGCGUAGAGAUGUGGAGGAACACCWGUGGCGAASGCKACUCUCUGGUCUGUARCUGACGCUGAGGAKYGAAAGCGUGKGGAGCGAACASGAUUAGAUACCCUGGUAGUCCACGCCGUAAACGAUGAGUGSUAGUGUGUUAGGGGGUUUCCGCMCCUUASYGSUGAAGUUARCGCAUUAAGCACUCCRCCUGGGGAGUACRGCCGCRAGGCUGAAACUCAMARRAWUKRMYGGGGGYCCRCACAAGCGGUGGAGCAUGUGSUUUAAUUYGMWKSAMSSGRRAGAACCUUACCAGGUCUUGACAUCCUUUGGUAUUCGUAGAGAUAGGAAGUUCCCUUUGGGGACAGAGUGACAGGUGGUGCAUGGUCGUUGUCAGCUUGUGUCGUGAGAUGUUGGGUUAAGUUCCGCAACGAGCGCAACCCUUGAUCUUAGUUGCCAGCAUUUAGUUGGGCAAUCUAAGGGGAGUGCCGGGGACAAACCGGAGGAAGGUGGGGAUGAGGUCAAAUCAUCAUGCCCCCUAUGACGUGGGGUACACACGUGUUACAAUGGAUGGAACAAAGGGAAGCAAAACCGCGAGGUCAAGCAAAUCCCAUAAAACCAUUGUCACUUUGGAUUUCAGGGUGCAACUCUCGUGCAUGAAGCCUGAAUCGCUAGUAAUCGCGGAUCACCAUGCCGCGGUGAAUAUGUUCCCGGGCCCUGUACACACCGCCCGUCACACCACGAGAGUUGGUAACACCCGAAGUCGGUGAGGUAACCUUUGGAGCCAGCCGCCGAACGUGUCCAU